rnacentral:rRNA from 1 species
UACGGAGGGUGCAAGCGUUAAUCGGAAUUACUGGGCGUAAAGCGCGCGCAGGCGGUCUUCCAAGUCAGUGGUGAAAGCCCGGAGCUCAACUCCAGAACUGCCUUUGAUACUGAGGAUCUUGAGUUCGGGAGAGGUGAGUGGAACUGCGAGUGUAGAGGUGAAAUUCGUAGAUAUUCGCAAGAACACCAGUGGCGAAGGCGGCUCACUGGCCCGAUACUGACGCUGAGGCACGAAAGCGUGGGGAGCAAACAGG